ensembl:ncRNA T09A5.20 ncRNA
AUAAUUCAAAUGGCUGAGUAUGAGUUCAAAGGGACACCGCCGCCCGUCCAUUAUUCGUCGGACCGCGCAUUCGAUAAAAGAUAAAAUUUAUUCGUUUUCUGGGUGAGACGGGACGAAUGCAAGUGGAGACUACGAUCGUUCCGUUUG